AAAAAUGCAAGUCGAACGGCAGCACGGGGGCAACCCUGGUGGCGAGUGGCGAACGGGUGAGUAAUACAUCGGAACGUGUCCUGGAGUGGGGGAUAGCCCGGCGAAAGCCGGAUUAAUACCGCAUACGCUCUAUGGAGGAAAGCGGGGGAUCUUCGGACCUCGCGCUCAAGGGGCGGCCGAUGGCGGAUUAGCUAGUUGGUAGGGUAAAGGCCUACCAAGGCGACGAUCCGUAGCUGGUCUGAGAGGACGACCAGCCACACUGGGACUGAGACACGGCCCAGACUCCUACGGGAGGCAGCAGUGGGGAAUUUUGGACAAUGGGGGCAACCCUGAUCCAGCAAUGCCGCGUGUGUGAAGAAGGCCUUCGGGUUGUAAAGCACUUUUGUCCGGAAAGAAAUCCUCUGGGUUAAUACCUCGGGGGGAUGACGGUACCGGAAGAAUAAGCACCGGCUAACUACGUGCCAGCAGCCGCGGUAAUACGUAGGGUGCGAGCGUUAAUCGGAAUUACUGGGCGUAAAGCGUGCGCAGGCGGUUUGCUAAGACCGAUGUGAAAUCCCCGGGCUUAACCUGGGAACUGCAUUGGUGACUGGCAGGCUAGAGUGUGGCAGAGGGGGGUAGAAUUCCACGUGUAGCAGUGAAAUGCGUAGAGAUGUGGAGGAAUACCGAUGGCGAAGGCAGCCCCCUGGGCUAACACUGACGCUCAUGCACGAAAGCGUGGGGAGCAGACAGGAUUAGAUACCCUGGUAGUCCACGCCCUAAACGAUGUCAACUAGUUGUUGGGGAUUCAUUUCCUUAGUAACGUAGCUAACGCGUGAAGUUGACCGCCUGGCGAGUACGGUCGCAAGAUUAAAACUCAAAGGAAUUGACGGGGACCCGCACACGCGGUGGAUGAUGUGGAUUAAUUCGAUGCACGCGAAAACCUUACCUACUCUUGACAUGGAC
rnacentral:rRNA from 1 species